AGUGAACGCUGGCGGUAGGCCUAACACAUGCAAGUCGAACGGCAGCACAGAGGAGCUUGCUCCUUGGGUGGCGAGUGGCGGACGGGUGAGGAAUACAUCGGAAUCUACUCUGUCGUGGGGGAUAACGUAGGGAAACUUACGCUAAUACCGCAUACGACCUACGGGUGAAAGCAGGGGACCUUCGGGCCUUGCGCGAUUGAAUGAGCCGAUGUCGGAUAAGCUAGUUGGCGGGGUAAAGGCCCACCAAGGCGACGAUCCGUAGCUGGUCUGAGAGGAUGAUCAGCCACACUGGAACUGGGACACGGUCCAGACUCCUACGGGAGGCAGCAGUGGGGAAUAUUGGACAAUGGGCGCAAGCCUGAUCCAGCCAUACCGCGUGGGUGAAGAAGGCCUUCGGGUUGUAAAGCCCUUUUGUUGGGAAAGAAAUCCAGCUGGCUAAUACCCGGUUGGGAUGACGGUACCCAAAGAAUAAGCACCGGCUAACUUCGUGCCAGCCGCCGCAGUAA
rnacentral:rRNA from 1 species